rnacentral:misc_RNA from 1 species
UUCGAGCGUCAUUUCAACCCUCAAGCUCAGCUUGGUAUUGGGCGUCACCUAGCAUGGUGCACCUUAAAAUCAGUGGUGGUGCUGUCUGGCUUCAAGCGUAGUAAUUCUCUCGCUUUGGAGGUUUGGAUGUGUGCUUGCCAUCAACCCCUAAUUUAUCAAAGGUUGACCUCGGAUCAGGUAGGGAUACCCGCUGAACUUAA